GCAGCCGCGGUAAUACAGAGGGUGCAAGCGUUAAUCGGAAUUACUGGGCGUAAAGCGCGCGUAGGCGGCUGUCUAAGUCGGAUGUGAAAGCCCCGGGCUCAACCUGGGAGCUGCUUUCGAGACUGCGGACCUGGAGACCAGUAGGGGUUGGUGGAAUUCCCGGUGUAGCGGUGGAAUGCGUAGAGAUCGGGAAGAACACCCGUGGCGAAGGCGGCCAACUGGGCUGGAUCUGACGCUGAGGCGCGAAAGCGUGGGGAGCAAA
rnacentral:rRNA from 1 species